AAACACCAUUUUGCCGUCAGCAAAACAUUGUUGCCAUUUAGCGCAAUAAAUAAAUUAAAUAUCAAAUUUCAUAUAUUUAGCUGAAUUGAUAACAAAAAUGGUUUUCCAACGUGUAGUCUUUCCAGCAUUGUCCCAUUAUGCUACUGUUGCGCAUUCUUUUAUCAGUGCGAGAAUAAGUAUGAGCUCUUUUUAUACUAUACUCAUUAGCAUGGCAAAGAACAAAAAAAAAACAAUUUUUCGGCCCCUCUCACUAAUUGGUGAUUUGUGCAAAAAUUAAUUUUUCAUCAUUUUUAAUAAAAAAAAAAUUAUGGGGAUUUUACUGCAGACAGUCAGCUGUCUAUUUUAAAUCGAAUGGCUGACUUGAUUAAAAAAAAAUUAUAAAGAAAAAGUUGAAAAAGAAAUCAUAAAUGGAGCUUAAAAAAUUUCGACAAUUUAAACGCUGUCGAAGAUCUCACUAUCGAUAGUGGCAUACCGUUUAAAUAAACAUACAUACAAACAUAUGUCAAGGUGAAACUGAUAAAGUUAAAGAGGGUUUAUAUAUUUUUAUUUUAUUUUGUGUACUUAUUUAUACAUAUAUUCAUGCUGAUAUAAAUUACACAUACAUAAAUUACAUACAUAUUAUACAUGUACAUCUCCACUAACUGUAUGUAUGAAUGCUUUUUUUCUUUUGCUUGUGCCAAGAAAAGCUUAAGCAGCAUUACAUGUAAAUAUCUUCUAUGCUAUUAUUUGCUCUGAACGUGCUCUCAGCAUACAACUAAGCUCACUCAGUUCCCUUCCACGUUGAAAAAGAGUAAUGCAAGUUAGUAAAUGCCUUAUGUUGUGCCAAAGCACUGCAACGGCAACGAAGCAGCUAACGUGUUCACAUCAUAACUGCAGCACGCAGCAAGUGCGCUAACACCUCCGGGCUUGCUGUGCGCCACCGACUACUCGGCGCUGACACUGUGGCGCUCUGCGCUUGUUGUCUAUUCAUCAAACGGCGAUAUUGCAUUUAAACGGCUGUCGAUCGCGCGCUCUUCCCAAUGUACUGGGACGUAUGAGUUUUUGUUUUUAUAUUUUGUUUGUGGCGGCAGCAAUGACGUCGCUGGCCACUAGUCAAACGCCACUGACAGCACCAUCGUUUCAGUGGCUGAACGUUGACGACGACGUCGUAGCAUUGUGAAGUUUUCGAAAAUAUUUCAUUCAGUCACAAAUUAUGCUUCUUAUUAUAAACACGUUCAAUUUACGAUCAGCGCUUAAUGUACCUAUCGGCAGCAACGCGUUCAGCGUAGUAGCAGAGAAAAGAAAGUAAAGCUUAGAAAUUUCAACAACAUUUCUCUUCGAUUUCAAAACAAGUUUUUUUUGCAAGGCACUUACACCGUUUGCAUUCAAAUUACUUGCAACUAAAAAGAAGUUAAAAGAUAGAAAAAAAUCUUGUGAAAAUGUGACUGGUUGC